ensembl:lncRNA
AUUAACUCAAAUAUGCCACUAAUUUUAAGCUUUUAAUUACUCAGAUAUGAAAUAUACAAUUUAUAGUAAGGAGAAACCAAUACCAGUAUGUGUGUGUAUUCAAUCCUGUUAGGCUUUGCACAAAGCACUAACUUGUUUCAUUUUAUUUUCUUAGUACUUGUUUUCUGUUUGAUGAGCAUAAAAUGUCCAUACCCAAAGUAACAAGACGUCAUAUGAACAUUUAAAUUUUUUUUCUCUAAGAGACACACAGAGAGAGGCAGAAACAUAGGCAGAGUGAGAAGCAGGCUCCCUGCGGGGAUCCGGAUGCAGGACUGAAUCCCAGGGCCCCCGGCUCAUGAACUGAGCCAAACGGCAGACGCUCAACCACUGGGCCACCCAGGUGCUCUGAACACUUAAAUUUUCAACAAAUAAUACGGACAGUCUCAUCCACCCUUCUACAAUCCCCCACCUAAAACUUCACCUGAAACACAGCUGAGUUUUGUAACCCUGUGUUCAUCACAGCCUGUAGCGCAGGGCUGUACUCCAAACAAUUCUUGAGUUUCUGUGCAUGGGGUCAUCCUCGGUCAAGUAUUAUUCCCACCCGCCUCCCUUCUCUCCAUGCAUCUUUGCGUGCCCCUCCCCGCUUCUACCGCGAGCUCGCUAGUACUCAGCCUGGGCCAAGCAACUUUUACACAGUAUCUUGGGCAGGAGAGAAAGGCAAACACGCUGCAGGGAACGGUGGGAUUCCUUCGAGAGCUAAGUAUAGGUUUGUUGACGCGGCGCGGGGUGGGGGGCGAGCCACGCGGUGCCCGGGUCACGGGGGUCUGCGCCCUCCAGUGACCCGCACGCUCGGGCUCCCGUGCGCGGCGCCACUGCAGCGGAAUCCGGUUCGGAGCAGGCGUCCACUGACAUCCUUCCCGGACCGCCCCAAGCCAGCGCGCAGUUGCCAGGGUAACGGCGAGUCUGCAGGGACCGGCUCUCCGCGUUUCCACGGACACGGCUCCCCAGGCAGGUGCGGCGGCGGCGGGCGGGCGGGCGCAGCNNNNNNNNNNNNNNNNNNNNNNNNNNNNNNNNNNNNNNNNNNNNNNNNNNNNNNNNGGCAGGUGCCGCGCGCCCCGCAUCGGCUCCACCGACGUCUACGAUUAAAAGCGCUACUUUCCGAGAGACACCGCGCUCGCAGCGCAGGACGACGACUUCCUUCCGGCCUGACUAGAUCCAGCCGCUCUCGGGCGCUGUCUGCGCGCUGGAGAUGGUCCAGGUCACGGAGGCUGUGCAGAGGCGCUGCCGCAGACAGUAAGGCUCCGUGGGCGAGAGCGCUCUGGAGAGGUGACACUGGGCCCCCUGUGCCAGGGAGGAUGCUGCACAGAAGUCAGAGGAUGUGGGUUUCCACUCUCCAGAAAGUUGUUCUGGCAUCUACUUCCUACCUUGAGGUCCUGGCAAUGGAGAACCUUGCUUUUAGAAAUGGACGUACUCUGGAAAAUGGUGUCACCGAAUCCCAGUUAACAGCUUUGCAUCAUCCUCACCUCUGA